GCGUGGAGCCGACCUUGAAAUACCACCCUUUAAUGUUUGAUGUUCUAACGUGGACCCGUGAUCCGGGUUGCGGACAGUGUCUGGUGGGUAGUUUGACUGGGGCGGUCUCCUCCUAAAGAGUAACGGAGGAGCACGAAGGUUGGCUAAUCCUGGUCGGACAUCAGGAGGUUAGUGCAAUGGCAUAAGCCAGCUUGACUGCGAGCGUGACGGCGCGAGCAGGUGCGAAAGCAGGUCAUAGUGAUCCGGUGGUUCUGAAUGGAAGGGCCAUCGCUCAACGGAUAAAAGGUACUCCGGGGAUAACAGGCUGAUACCGCCCAAGAGUUCAUAUCGACGGCGGUGUUUGGCACCUCGAUGUCGGCUCAUCACAUCCUGGGGCUGAAGUAGGUCCCAAGGGUAUGGCUGUUCGCCAUUUAAAGUGGUACGCGAGCUGGGUUUAGAACGUCGUGAGACAGUUCGGUCCCUAUCUGCCGUGGGCGCUGGAGAACUGAGGGGGGCUGCUCCUAGUACGAGAGGACCGGAGUGGACGCAUCACUGGUGUUCGGGUUGUCAUGCCAAUGGCACUGCCCGGUAGCUAAAUGCGGAAGAGAUAAGUGCUGAAAGCAUCUAAGCACGAAACUUGCCCCGA
rnacentral:rRNA from 2 species